GCAAACUUGGUCAUUUAGAGGAAGUAAAAGUCGUAACAAGGUUUCCGUAGGUGAACCUGCGGAAGGAUCAUUACCAAUCUUUAGUGAGCCCGAACACUUGUUCAUGGUCUCACAAAAUCUUGUAUUUAAAACCCACUCAUAUAACUAAACAUGUAGUAAUAUUAUAAUUAAAGAUCACUUUCAACAACGGAUCUCUUGACUCUCAGGCAAACUUGGUCAUUUAGAGGAAGUAAAAGUCGUAACAAGGUUUCCGUAGGUGAACCUGCGGAAGGAUCAUUACCAAUCUUUAGUGAGCCCGAACACUUGUUCAUGGUCUCACAAAAUCUUGUAUUUAAAACCCACUCAUAUAACUAAACAUGUAGUAAUAUUAUAAUUAAAGAUCACUUUCAACAACGGAUCUCUUGGCUCUCGCAUCGAUGAAGAACGCAGC
rnacentral:misc_RNA from 1 species